AGAAUGAACGUUGGCGGCGUGGAUUAGGCAUGCAAGUCGAACGGGCCUGGUAGCAAUAUUAGGUCAGUGGCGUAAGGGUGAGUAAGGCGACGGCAACCAACCCCAUGGUUGGGCAUAGCCGCGGGAAACUGCGGGUAAUUCCCAGCGAUGUUCGUGCCGGGCAUCCGGCGUGAACCAAAGUUUCGGCGCCGUGGGACGGGCCGUCGUGGUAUUAGGUAGUUGGCGGGGUAAUGGCCCACCAAGCCUCUGAUGCCUACCGGGCGUGCGAGCGUGGCCCGGCACACUGGGACUGAGACACUGCCCAGACUCCUACUGGAGGCUGCAGUCGAGAAUCUUCGGCAAUGGGCGCAAGCCUGACCGAGCGACGCCGCGUGGAGGAUGAAGGCCUUCGGGUUGUAAACUCCUGUCGAGGGGAGGAAGGCGCAAGCUUGACCUAUCCCUGGAGGAGCGACGGGCUAAGUUCGUGCCAGCAGCCGCGGUAA
rnacentral:rRNA from 1 species